GAUCCUGCUACAGGACGAACGCUGGCGGCGUGCCUAACACAUGCAAGUCGAACGAAGCUUGACGACAGAAUUCUUCGGAAGGACGUCAGAUAUGACUGAGUGGCGGACGGGUGAGUAACGCGUGAGCAACCUGCCCUUCGGAGGGGGAUAGUGUCUGGAAACGGACAGUAAUACCGCAUAACGUUAGUAGAUGGCAUCAUCAAUUAACCAAAGAUUUAUCGCCGAGGGAUGGGCUCGCGUCUGAUUAGAUAGUUGGUGGGGUAACGGCCUACCCAAGUCGACGAUCAGUAGCCGGACUGAGAGGUUGAACGGCCACAUUGGGACUGAGACACGGCCCAGACGUCCUACGGGAGGCAGCAGUGGGGGAUAUUGCACAAUGGGCGCAAGCCUGAUGCAGCAACGCCGCGUGGAGGAAGACGGUUUUCGGAUUGUAAACUCCUGUUCUUAGGGAAGAAGACAGUGACGGUACCUAAGGAGCAAGCCCACGGCUAACUACGUGCC
rnacentral:rRNA from 1 species